rnacentral:lncRNA from 1 species
AUGCCCUUUGUGCCUGCACCACUGCCCACUCAAGCAGCUUCAUCACCAGCCCCCGUUUUGGGUGAAAACCUCUCUCUUCUGAGCAAAUCAGACCAGGAGAUUAAUACGGAAUUGUCAUUAUUGAGGAGAAAAAAACAAUUCAGCAAUUUCGCUACGCUUUUUCUGGAUCAAUGGGGCUCAGCCUCAUGCGGGGUGGCAGCUCCCCCGCUCCUCGUCUCGUGGCCAGGAGCUGUCACGGCCGCCCCAGAGGAGCUCUCGCAUUUCCCAUCUCCAGCCUUCAAUUACACGCAGCAUCAAGCUGAAGGCCGAGGAAAUAAUAGAAAAUCAAGCGGCACAAACGCGUUUAAGCCGUGGAACAUUUUGCAGUUCACUUUUGCACUCACCCACAGACGGUCAGGCACAGGCAGGGACGUGAGAUCCAUCCCCCCGUCUCCUGCCCCAGUGAGGACCCCCCCUCUCGUGCCUUCAGCAUGGGGACACGUCCCCUUUCCCCCCCAGGACCUCCUGGGCUUUCUCUUCCAGAACUUGAGGGCUGUCAGAGGCUGUGGUGGGGCUGGGGAGAUGUGGCUGGGAUGCUGCUGGCUCAGAGUGCCCGCUCAAAGCCCUGCAUCUUCCUCAGAUGAAUCCUGGGACAUUCGGGUCCCCGCAUCCCCUGCCUGCCUCCAUCCCAGGCACCAUCCCAAAAUGUGGUGCAGUGGAGGGGGUGUCUUGUGCCAAAGCAGGGAGCACCCACCUGCACCCUGCCAGGGAAAGGAAAGGCAUUUGGGGAUUCCCAAAUGGCCCCAAUCUCACCAGCAAUCUCCCCAGCACAUCUGGAGCAUUUCCUUGACACAGCCAGCUCCAAAAAACAUCCCAGAAUUAAUCCUUGGGCAUCUCUGCCCCCUCCAGCCUCUCCCUCCCAAACCUGCUCGAGGCAGUGAAUUCUUUUUGCCCUCCCCGUUGCUGCAGGAGGGUGAAAUCUGGGAGCCUUUUGCCCUCUCCCCUUCCCCAGCCCUCCACCUUCUCCCCAGUCACCCCUGGCUUUUAGCAGGCUUAUUUUGGGUGGCUGGGUUUAUAAAAAAAAAAAGUGAGCUUCUGUUCCUGUGCAACAUUAGCAAAGAGGUGAGAAAAGAGGAGCACAGUGACCAUCACGCCCCGUCCUGGUCCUCCCAGCUGCGUUUUUGCAUCCCCACAACAAGGAGGGAAGGCGCCCUAAUUCCAUCAACUCAAAAAAAAAAAACACACAAGGAGGUAGAAGGUUUCAGAGCAUUUCAUUUGUAA